UACGGGGGGGGCAAGCGUUGUUCGGAAUUACUGGGCGUAAAGGGCUCGUAGGUGGCCAACUAAGUCAGACGUGAAAUCCCUCAGCUUAACUGGGGAACUGCGUCUGAUACUGGAUGGCUUGAGUUUGGGAGAGGGAUGCGGAAUUCCAGGUGUAGCGGUGAAAUGCGUAGAUAUCUGGAGGAACACCGGUGGCGAAGGCGGGUCUCUGGGCCGAUACUGACGCUGAGGAGCGAAAGCGUGGGGAGCGAACAGG
rnacentral:rRNA from 1 species